rnacentral:rRNA from 1 species
CUGAGGGGGGCUGCUCCUAGUACGUGAGGACCGGAGUGGACGCAUCACUGGUGUUCGGGUUGUCAUGCCAAUGUCACUGCCCGGGAGCUAACUGCGGAAGAGAUAAGUGCUGAAAGCAUCUAAGCUCGAAACUUGCCCCGAUAUGAGGUCUCCCUGAGACUUUAGGUCUCCUGAAGGAACGUUGAAGACGACGACGUUGAUAGGCCGGGUGUGUAAGCGCAGCGAUGCGUUGAGCUAACCGGUACUAAUGAACCGUGAGGCUUAACCUU